CCUGGGACGGUGAGUGGUGAGUAUGCCUUUCCCUGGGGACAGCCUCUGGGAGCCUCUGGGUCCCCGGAAGGUACAGGCAGGACGCAGGCAGCUUGGACCGGGCAGGCUGCAGCUGGGCCUCCUGUUGUCUUAGCCACAGUAGCCACAGAGGUCCCCUUCUUCUCCCCCAGUCAACCCAGAGCCUGGCAGUACCUCUGCUGGGUCACCAGCCCUCCUGAGCAGUGGCAGAGGGCAUCUAGCUCAUAGUCCUGGGGAGCUGACGUGUGGACACAGCAGUUGCGGGGACAUUGGCUCUGGUGGCCUGGCCUUUCCCGCCACUGUCUCUUGGCAGCCUCUGGAGCCAUUUUGCCUGGGUGAGGACCUUCCUCCCCUUCUGCAGAUGAGGACAGAAGGCCACAGAGGGAAGCCAGGAGCCGGCUGGCACCUUCCAUCCCCUCCAGAUGCGCCCAGGGACAGAACCGAACAACCCCCCUACGGGCAGUGGUUCUGAGCCCACCUUGUAGACUCAUGGGAAUGGGAGCCCUGGGAAGGCCACCUUCAUGGGGUUCAAGCUGACCUUCCCCAUUGACCACUCUGAGCCAGCCGCCGCUGAGCUCAGUGCACAUAAGAACACAUUUCAGCCUCACAGCCCCUCUGAGGUGGUUCUGUGGUCAUUCCCAUUUACAGAUGAGGAAACUGGGAACCCAGAGGUGGAAAACUUGCUCCAGA
rnacentral:lncRNA from 1 species